UCAGAGCGAACGCUGGCGGCAGGCUUAACACAUGCAAGUCGAACGCUCAUCUUCGGAUGGGAGUGGCAGACGGGUGAGUAACACGUGGGAACGUACCCUUCGGUUCGGAACAACUCUGGGAAACUGGAGCUAAUACCGGAUACGCCCUUUUGGGGAAAGGUUUACUGCCGAAGGAUCGGCCCGCGUCUGAUUAGCUAGUUGGUGGGGUAACGGCCUACCAAGGCGACGAUCAGUAGCUGGUCUGAGAGGAUGAUCAGCCACAUUGGGACUGAGACACGGCCCAAACUCCUACGGGAGGCAGCAGUGGGGAAUAUUGGACAAUGGGCGCAAGCCUGAUCCAGCCAUGCCGCGUGAGUGAUGAAGGCCUUAGGGUUGUAAAGCUCUUUUGUCCGGGACGAUAAUGACGGUA
rnacentral:rRNA from 1 species